UGGUGAAAGAGUAAGGUGGGCUGGCCUGUGUUCACUGUUGCAGGGUUAAUUAACCUUCACCCACCUCGCUUCUCUCCCCAUUAAAGAUAAGAGAGAAAGAGCAGAAGAAAAAGAGUCCUUUUCUUCCUUUCUUUUCUUGUUUUUGUAGUUGUUUGGUACUAGCAGAGAUCAAGCAAGAAAGUCUCAUUUGUUUUUAGCCAUUGUUUUUUCUAGUAAUGGUUUGCUAGCUUCCUUUCACUUUCUUUUUCCUUGGCACUGAAUGUGAUAAUGGCUUAUAACAUCCUUGCCAAGAAGAGAGGAGUUUCAUCUCUCCUUCCUCAUCACCAUCUUCCUCUUCUUCUUCUGCUUCUUUCUUCCCUUUUCGUCGCAAAUUUAGCCUUGUUUCAGGCCUAAAUUACACAAAGUAUAGGCAAGUAAGCAGCUUGAGGCUUGAAAGAAUUCAAAAACACUUGGCAAAGAUUAACAAACCUGCUGUCAUGACCAUCGAGAGCCCAGAUGGAGAUAUCAUAGAUUGUGUCCAUAAAAGAAAACAACCAGCUUUUGAUCAUCCUCUUUUAAAGAACCACAAGAUUCAGAGAGUUCCCUCGGAGAUGCCUAAAGUGAAAACGUUGAAGCAAGAUGAGGCAAGAGAGUCGAGGGGUAAUGUGGGAGCUGUAAAGGGUGCAUGGCAAAUGUGGCACGGGAAUGGGACAAGAUGUCCCAAGGGAACAGUUCCCAUACGGCGCAGCAGUCUGCAUGAUGUCUUGAGAGCCAAGUCUUUGUUUGACUUUGGCAAGAAACAACGUCGUUUCACCCCUUCUCGCAGCACCGAUGCCCCCGAUGUCGUAAGCGGCAACGGACACGAACAUGCGAUUGCGUAUACCGGAACAUCCCAAGAGGUAUUCGGAGCAAAAGCAACUAUAAACGUGUGGGACCCUUCAAUCCAAGUACUCAACGAGUUCAGUCUAUCACAGAUUUGGGUUCUUUCCGGAUCAUUCGACGGCUCUGAUCUCAACAGCAUCGAAGCUGGAUGGCAGGUCAGUCCGGAGCUUUAUGGUGACAGCAGGCCAAGAUUGUUCACUUAUUGGACGACUGAUUCCUAUCAAGCAACUGGAUGCUACAACCUUCUAUGUGCAGGCUUUGUCCAAACAAAUAGUAGAAUUGCCAUUGGGGCUGCCAUUUCUCCUAUCUCUCAGUAUGCUGCAAAUCAAUAUGACAUUACCAUCCUCAUUUGGAAGGAUCCUAAGGUAGGGAAUUGGUGGAUGGGUUUUGGUGACAACACCCUCGUAGGUUAUUGGCCAGCAGAGCUAUUUACUCACCUAGCAGACCAUGCCACCAUGGUGGAAUGGGGUGGUGAAGUGGUGAACUCAAGGGCCAACGGCCAGCACACGUCGACGCAGAUGGGUUCCGGCCACUUCUCCGACGAAGGGUUUGGAAAAUCAAGCUAUUUCCGGAACCUCGAGAUUGUUGACGCUGAUAACAGCUUGAGUUCUGUCCAUGACAUAUCAACCCUAGCUGAGAAUACAAAUUGUUACAACAUCAAGAGCUCCUACAACAAUGAAUGGGGCACAUAUUUCUACUAUGGAGGGCCAGGGAACAAUCCGCUGUGCCCUUGAUCAACUAUCCCAGCAAGAUAUAUAAUUAAUUCUAAGAUCCCACGUAACAAAAAAAAAAAAAAUUCCUAGUGUCGAAAAUUCUUUAAAUCUGUAAUUAUUGAAUUAUGCUAUUUCCACUCUUGUUUUUGCUGAUUUUUACAAUUUUUUGUUUGUCUUACUUUGUGGCGAAAAGGAAUGUGUAUCAUUAGUUAAAAUAAGACAAAAGGCAAUUUGCAUAAACAGGCAUGGAAAUAGCAAUAUUCUGGAAUAGGCCAUCAUUGAAGACCCAAGUAAAGAGAAUAGUAUAAAAAUUACAAAGGC